rnacentral:rRNA from 1 species
UAGUCCGUACGAGCGCACCCUUGUCCCUAGUUGCCAGCACUUCGGGUGGGAACUCUAGGGAGACUGCCGGUGAUAAACCGGAGGAAGGUGGGGAUGAGGUCAAGUCAUCAUGGCCCUUAUGGGCAGGGCUACACACGUGCUACAAUGGCCGGUACAGAGGGCAGCGAAGCCGCGAGGUGGAGCGAAUCUCAGAAAACCGGUCGUAGUCCGGAUUGCAGUCUGCAACUCGACUGCAUGAAGCCGGAAUCGCUAGUAAUCGCGGAUCAGAACGCCGCGGUGAAUACGUUCCCGGGCCUUGUACACACCGCCCGUCACACCAUGGGAGUGGGCUGUACCAGAAGUAGGUAGUCUAACCUUCGGGAGGACGCUUACCACGGUGUGGUUCAUGACUGGGGUGAAGUCGUAACAAGGUAGCCCUAGGGGAACCUGGGGCUGGAUCACCUCCUUU